rnacentral:ncRNA from 2 species
UACGGAGGGGGCUAGCGUUGUUCGGAAUUACUGGGCGUAAAGCGCACGUAGGUGGAUUGUUAAGUCAGGGGUGAAAUCCCGAGGCUCAACCUCGGAACUGCCUUUGAUACUGGCAAUCUCGAGUCCGGGAGAGGUGAGUGGAAUUCCUAGUGUAGAGGUGAAAUUCGUAGAUAUUAGGAAGAACACCAGUGGCGAAGGCGGCUCACUGGCCCGGUACUGACACUGAGGUGCGACAGCGUGGGGAGCAAACAGG